GCUGGAAGUGUUUUGAUGCCUGACGGGAAGGACCCUUUAGUACGAGAGGAACGAGGGUUCGUCGCCUCUAGUCUAUCAGUUGUCUGGCAAGGCAAUGCUGAGCAGCCACGCGAUAUGCGGAUAAAAGCUGAAAGCAUCUAAGCUUGAAACCGCCCUGAAAACGAGGCAUCUUACAGCCGCCGUUACAUGACGGCGUUGAUAGAGCUGGGAUGUAAGUGUCAAGGUCCGCCGAGACAUUCAGUCCGCAGCUACUAAUCGCUGUAGUCGCUAUACAA
rnacentral:ncRNA from 1 species